UGGUGAUCCUGGCAGACGAAGGCAGCGUCCACGGGACCCUCCAGGCCCAGCUCCUCCUUUAGGGGUUUGGGGUACCCAUCCAGAAGGUUCUGCAGGUGAAGAUUGACCACCCACUCACGGACACCCACCCCUGAAGGCGUAGACGUUUCCUGCGUCGUCUGAUGUGAUGGCAUCCAGAAGAUGACGGAGUCUUCGUGACCUACCCUUGAAGAAGAUGACGGAGUCUUCAUCACACUCGGGCUUGGGGCACUCCACUGCAG